GCGGAUGUGGUGGAAUUGGCAGACACGCCAGAUUUAGGUUCUGGUGGGUAACUCCGUGCAGGUUCAAGUCCUGUCAUCCGCACCA
rnacentral:tRNA from 1 species